UACAGGGGGGGCAAGCGUUGUUCGGAAUUACUGGGCGUAAAGGGUCUGUAGGUGGCCAACUAAGUCAGACGUGAAAUCCCUCAGCUUAACUGGGGAACUGCGUCUGAUACUGGAUGGCUUGAGUUCGGGAGAGGGAUGCGGAAUUCCAGGUGUAGCGGUGAAAUGCGUAGAUAUCUGGAGGAACACCGGUGGCGAAGGCGGCAUCCUGGACCGACACUGACACUGAGGAGCGAAAGCCAGGGGAGCAAACGGG
rnacentral:rRNA from 1 species